rnacentral:rRNA from 1 species
AUACGUAGGGUGCGAGCGUUGUCCGGAAUUACUGGGCGUAAAGAGCUCGUAGGUGGUUUGUCGCGUCGUCUGUGAAAUUCCGGGGCUUAACUCCGGGCGUGCAGGCGAUACGGGCAUAACUUGAGUACUGUAGGGGAGACUGGAAUUCCUGGUGUAGCGGUGAAAUGCGCAGAUAUCAGGGGAACACCGGUGGCGAAGGCGGGUCUCUGGGCAGUAACUGACGCUGAGGAGCGAAAGCAUGGGUAGCGAACAGGAUUAGAUACCCUGGUAGUCCAUGCCGUAAACGGUGGGCGCUAGGUGUAGGGGUCUUCCACGACUUCUGUGCCGUAGCUAACGCAUUAAGCGCCCCGCCUGGGGAGUACGGCCGCAAGGCUAAAACUCAAAUGAAUUGACGGGG